rnacentral:misc_RNA from 1 species
AACCUAGCACACCUGCGGUGUGUACCUGCGGAAGGAUCAUUAAAGAGUUUAACUACUCAAACCAUUGUGAACCUUACCUCAACCGUUGCUUCGGCGGGCGGGCCCGGGCCAAGCCCGGCGCCCCCCCGGCCCCUCGCGGGCGCCCGCCGGAGGUUAACCGAACCCUUGAAUUGUAUGGCCUCUCUGAGUCUUCUGUACUGAAUAAGUCAAAACUUUUAACAAUGGAUCUCAGAUCGGAAG